AUUCUUUGUUUGAUAAUCGAGAGAUGUGUUUCUCUGUUUUGCAGUGGGCAAUGAAGUUUCGAUGGAAUGCCUUGAUAAAAUGGACAAAGAACAUGGAGCGUAAAGUUUUAAUUUGGUGAUCUCUAGUAAAUUCAUUUUGUUUCCAUAUAGUUUUUUUGAUAUAUCUUGUCAAUUGAAAUUAGCUGAAUAGUAUUUUAUUCCAUAUGCAUAAGAUGUAUAUACACAGAGUACAAUCCUAUUCUAGGAAAUAAACUAUACAGUCAAUAAAGACGCGAUUAUAAUCAUUAAAUCCUAAUUUAAUCAGAAAAUAAUGCUAGCUGUCAUUUUUAACUUUGUCAAACUAUUGAAAAUAAAAGAAUAUCAAAAUAUCUGUUUAUACAUUGAAGGUAGC
rnacentral:lncRNA from 1 species